CUACAGUUCUCAGAAAUAAUAAUUUUGUCCAUUAUCUAUUAUCCAUUAUCCCGGAGAGAGAUCUUCAUGUGUUUUGCCCACAACAAAACUUGUGUUGUAUGUUGGUCUGGAGCAGGUGGAACCUUCAUAAAGAUGAUUAAGAGCAGGAAUGCUCUUAAAAGCUUUCGGUAUGGAGAUAAAGGACCAAACUCCUUGUCAUCGCUGGUUUCAAAGCACAAGAUAAAGACAAAGCACGAGAUUAGGGGUGCUCCGAUUUAUCGGCAGUCCCUCUAAAGGCCGAUGUCAUAAACCGAUCUCAAGCUGAUGAUGCGCCUGUUGUGAGAGGUUUGGCAUGACAUACAGCGGCACGGUCUCAAUCUCUGUCCGGUGCGGGUAAAAUAAUUAUAAUGCUGAAGAUAUUGCUUCCUGUGAUUGACGAUCAAUGAUCAGCUCCGAAAAUCCUAAGCACCCUUACACGAGAUCACUCUGCUGUGAGGGUGUAUGGCAAGAUCCCAAGACAUGUUGGGAUCAAGAGAAAUGCCUGACAUGCCAACGUGUACAUCCCGAGAAAAAAUCGGAAUAAAUAGUGAAGAAUAUGAGCAUCAACUCACAUCACGAAAUAAUAAAUGAUGAGCAUUG